UUAAAAUAAUGUCUGUGAGUAUAACAAAACUGAUAAGGCAGGCGAAAACCCGAGGAAAAUCCAUCCAGGAAGUACUAUUAUUUUGAAAGGCUGUUUUUCCAUUGAAAGCCUAUCCACCAUACAAAGACUUAGGACCCAAUUCACGAUCUCUAUGUCUUCUUCUACAUGUGGCCAGUCUUUAGGCGUUGUUUCAGGCUUUUACUCUGAAAAAUGAGGGAGAUACAGCACUUUCAAUGAGUGGACAGUGGAAAUUUCCAGACAUGAGCCCAGCACGUGAUUGGGAGCGGGCAUUUGUUGUUUCUCCUUUUCUAUUGACGAAGCUUUUGUCCGGAUGAAAUAUUAUUGAUUAUUUAUGACAAAAACAACCUGAGGAUUGAUUUUAAACAUCGUUUGACAUGUUUCUAUGAACUUUUAUUGUACUUUUUUUCCUUUCGUCUUUGUACCUUUGGAUUACUGAACUAAACACACCAACAAAACUGAGGUUUUUGGACAUAAAGAGGGACAUUAUCAAACAGAACUAACAUUUAUUGUGUAACAUGGAGCCCUGGGAGUGCCACCAGAUGAAGAUCAUUAAAGGCCACCCGACGCCAGAGCUCCAAAGACACUGCUGCUGCUGAUUUCUUGCCUCUAGCAGAGAGCUACCUGGCCGACUACAGUGACAAACACACACUCUCUAUCAAACUCAAGACUGACAAACUCACGCUCUCUAUCCCACUUUGCCCGCGCUGCCGCAAGGAGGGAUCCCCAGCUCAGCUCAUCAAACAUAAUUAUUUUCAGUUGUGUGAAAUAUGUGACAUUUUUAUUUCACGUGUGAAAUUAUAUUGAUAUCUAAUGUUUGCAGUGAAUAUUAGAGCAAUUCUUGAAUGUGAGCAUCUUAGUGUAUCCUGGAGUUGGUAUAUUAAACUACCUGCCACUGGGUUAGGCAUCCUCACAUAAAAAACGAUUGCCCUUCCUAUUUCUGGGCAAUGAUUGCUCUGUUCAGUCCUUUAUCAUUGAUGACCUUGGAGGACACCAGAAAGAUGAUAGCCUUUUGAUUUUAAGUUGUAUAUGAUGAUUACAAUAACAACCAGUCUGGUUAUACAAGGCAAUUGACUGAUUUAUUGGGACAAGGCUUGAAUUAUUAAUAGACAUCUCAUUAUUAAUUUGUUUUGGGUAUCAGAAGAUACGUCCAACACAAGCCAUGAAUAGCUUACUUUGAUAUAUGGCUGACUAACUUUAGUUUUCGUAUGUAUUGUUGUGAUUGCGUUGACAGACAAUAUCAAAAAAGUGUUUAUGGACAUAUUCAACCUCUCUUUAUCCCAGUCUGCUGUCCCCACAUGCUUCAAGAUGGCUACCAUUGAUCCUGUACCCGAGAAAGCGAAGGAGCACCAUAUUCAUUCAUGGUUUUCUUCCUGAGAGUCUGGCCCACACAUCUCUCUCAACCUCUACGUGGCGGGAUGUCACACGCUGUGGGGGUGGAAUCAUCUCAAGGACUUCAUCAAACUGAUACCAGUCUCGUCUCGAGAAGGCCAGAAAAAUCUGUUUGGUCCUACACGAUGCAUACAUUUCACUUGUACACUCAUUUCAUCCAUGCCCAGGAGGAUGCCUGGAUAAAGGUCAUCAUCAUAUUCCACUACACACCAUUGUCCAAGAUGACCUGGAUUUCCCCACUGGAUUUCAUCCACAGUUUGUGGAUCUUCCUCAUUGGCUGGCUGUUCUGGAGCAGCCUGAAACUGAAGUGCUGUGUGUUAAAGCAUGUACAGUUUAGGUCCUUCUUUGUUGAACAAAGGCAGCUGCCAUCACGAGACAUCAGCUGACCAGGAGCAAGGGUGAUGACCUGGUGUAUUCUCAUGGUGGAGGGUACCGUUUUUAUCGAGCUUGGCAUCAUCUCAAUCUCACAUGCUCCUUUCCUCUCCUUGCUGCUUUUGUAUGCUGUUCUCCACUGUUUACGCUUCUGACGCUGAUCUCUCACUUUAAUCACUGAUCUUUUUCUCUUUCCCUGCCUCAACAUUUCUUUUCCAUCUGACGCUCUCUCUCAAUGUAUUGUUCCCUUUUUUCUGUGUCAGCAUUUUGACGUGCUCAACGCUAGCUUUGUCUUUCUGCUGCUGAUGGUACCAUCAUUCGCUAGAUGUUUC
rnacentral:lncRNA from 1 species